GAUGAACGCUAGCUACAGGCUUAACACAUGCAAGUCGAGGGGAAACGAUGAGAGAGCUUGCUCUCUUAGGCGUCGACCGGCGCACGGGUGAGUAACGCGUAUCCAACCUACCCAUUACAGGGGGAUAACCUUGCGAAAGUAAGACUAAUACCCCAUGGCAUUUUAUGGUGGCAUCAUUAUAGGAUUAAAGAUUUAUUGGUAAUGGAUGGGGAUGCGUCUGAUUAGCUUGUUGGCGGGGUAACGGCCCACCAAGGCAACGAUCAGUAGGGGUUCUGAGAGGAAGGUCCCCCACAUUGGAACUGAGACACGGUCCAAACGCCUACGGGAGGCAGCAGUGAGGAAUAUUGGUCAAUGGGCGAGAGCUUGAACCAGCCAAGUAGCGUGCAGGAUGACGGCCCUAUGGGUUGUAAACUGCUUUUAUAGGGGAAUAAAGUGAGCUACGUGUAGUUUAUUGCAUGUACCCUAUGAAUAAGGACCGGCUAAUUCCGUG
rnacentral:rRNA from 1 species